rnacentral:rRNA from 1 species
UGGGGAAUAUUGGACAAUGGGCGAAAGCCUGAUUCAGCCAUGCCGCGUGAGUGAUGAAGGCCCUAGGGUUGUAAAGCUCUUUUGUGCGGGAAGAUAAUGACGGUACCGCAAGAAUAAGCCCCGGCUAACUUCGUGCCAGCAGCCGCGGCAAUACGAAGGGGGCUAGCGUUGCUCGGAAUCACUGGGCGUAAAGCGCACGUAGGCGGACUCUUAAGUCGGUGGUGAAAUCCUGGAGCUCAACUCCAGAACUGCCUUCGAUACUGAGAGUCUCGAGUUCGGGAGAGGUGAGUGGAACUGCGAGUGUAGAGGUGAAAUUCGCAGAUAUUCGCAAGAACACCAGUGGCGAAGGCGGCUCACUGGCCCGAUACUGACGCUGAGGUGCGAAAGCGUGGGGAGCAAACA